CCAGGAGAAAAUACAGGAACUAAGAAGCCUGUGCAACCAGGAGCCUGUGCAGUGCAAACUCAGAGUGAAAGCAGUUCCUCAGCCACUGGUACCUUGGUGUCAGAUGCCUCUUCUCGCUGCUCCUCUUCAGGUUGGCCUCUUGAGGUAUGGGG